rnacentral:SRP_RNA from 16 species
GAAAUCGCAUCAUCUGGUAACCGAGCAGGGAUUUGCGACGCACACCCCUGGUAGAGGAUUUCGUGAUA